rnacentral:rRNA from 1 species
AGGACGAACGCUGGCGGCGUGCUUAACACAUGCAAGUCGAACGAGGUGCUUGGCACCUAGUGGCGAACGGGUGAGUAACACGUGAGCAACCUGCCCUUGGCUCUGGGAUAGCCUCCGGAAACGGGGAUUAAUACCGGACAUGACCUUGGAUCGCAUGAUCUACGGGUGGAAAGUUUUUCGGCCAGGGAGGGGCUCGCGGCCUAUCAGCUUGUUGGAGGGGUAACGGCCCACCAAGGCGACGACGGGUA